GUCUCAGACUCACAUGGUAAAUUGUCAGGUCUCAGACUCACAUGGUAAAUUGUCAGGUAUCAGACUCACAUGGUAAAUUGUCAGGUCUCAGAAAAUCUUCCUGCAGGUGGCGCUGUUGUCAUGUCCCAUCCAAAUUGAUUUCCAAAUACGUCAUCAACGUGUGACAGUGGGAGAGCGCAAGGUCAUUGACCUCACCGGAGUUUUACCGCGGUCCAGGCUCCUAACGACACAAGACUUUUCUGCAAUGUCAUCCGACGAUGAUGAAAGGAAUACGAUGAUAAUAACAUUGUUCAACAAAGGCUUAAAACAAAAGGAAAUCAGCUGUGUACUCAAUUCAUAUGGGCAUAAA